rnacentral:piRNA from 1 species
UCUUUGGGGCCAGCUCGAUCUUCUUUGG